rnacentral:lncRNA from 1 species
CUCACAGAGUGUCUGUAGCUCUCUUCAGUGACUCAGCACUUUACAGAGAAAAAUUGUUCUGGAGGGAAUGUUAGGGCAGUCCACAUAGCCGCUUACAGGAAAGAAAGAGAUCAAAUCCUGCCUACAGGGAAAGCUGAAACACCAAACUUAAAUGCUAAAUGGAAACAAUAACAACAAUAACAACAACAACAACAACAACAAACGACCAACAGAUGAUGAAAACCCCGUGAAGCAAGGUAAAGAAGGGAAGAGCAGAAGUUCUCCUAGUGAUGACUCUCACCAUCUCUACUCUGGAGGACAUGGCUGCUAUCUGGCAGUGACCGCUGCCCACAAAUAUGGAUGUGGGCUCUACCAUAAUUUCCCCUUACAGAAGAACAAAGACUAAUGGAAGGAGAGUCCAACACGGAAGAUACAUUGCUUCUGCAGUUCAAGUCCAUUUUGCUGUAGGUCACCUAUGGGCCUAGCCACCUUCCUGACUUGUCAUCAGCUUUUCUCUGUGUUGUCAGGCCCAGGUCAGGACACCUGGCUCCUCACAGUCACCGAGUCUCAAACCCAGAGAAAAAAGAAAAAAUUUCUCCUCACCUCAGACUAAUUCCUACUCACUAAGUCCUCAUUUUUUGUCCCAGGAUGAAUAUCUUCCUAGUAUAAUGGACAGUGGAGAACUUCUAUCUGUUAUAGGGAAACCCAACUACUAUAUAAAAGAGUGAGACUGGCUCUGUGAUCCCAAGAAGAAAAUAACAAAGAUGAUGCUUUUUCUAUCAUGUGGGUUAGACGGCCUUACCCUUGGGCAACUUGAUGUAAUAUUGUUUUUACAAAAGAAAUAUGUAAAGUAGGUCGAAUACAAUUUUCCAUUUCCUCUUUCACUUGACAAUACAUUUUGUAUAUCAUUCCAUAUAUGUCAACUUUAUGCUUUUUAAUAGCUGCAUGCUGUUCCAUAGUUGCAUGGUUAUACUAUAGUUUGUUGAUGAACAUUUUGGUUGUUUAAACAAAUACUGCCACAAGUAUUUAUUUCAAAAUACUUUAAUAGAUGAUGUAAAUCUAGUAAGUAUCCCAACAUUUACCAUACAACACUUUUUAAGUUGUGGUUAAAUAUAUAUAUAACAUAAAAUUUAUGAUUUUAACAAUUUUAAAGUAUAGAGUUUUGAGGUAUUACGUACAUUCACAUUGUGUGCAACAAUCACUACCAUUCAUCUUCAGGACUUUUUCAUCUUCCCCAGCUGAAACUUUGUACCCUUAAAGACUAACUCUGCAUUCCCACUUCAUUGCAGCCCCUUGCAACCACUCUUCUAUUUUCUGUCUCAAAGAACUCUACUCCUCUAGGUACCUCAUAUAAGUGGAAUAAUACAGUGUUUUUCCUUUUGUGACUGCCUUAUUUCACUUAGCAUAUGAUUUCUUCAAGGUCCACUGAUGUUGUAAGCAUGUAUCAUCAUUUCCUUCCUUUUUAAGGCUGAUAAUAUUUCACUAUAUGUAUAUACCACAUUUUGUUUAUUUAUUGGUUGAUGGAACUUGGGUUGCUUUUGACUAUUGUGAAUGAUGCUGCUAUGAAUGUAGGUAUACAAAUAUCUGUUUCAAUUCAUGCUUUCAAGUUUUUGGGGUUUAUAUUCAGAAGUGAAAUUAUUGGAUCAUAUGGUGAUUCUGUUUAAUUUUUUAAGGAACUGCUACAUUGUUACCCAUAGUAGCAUUUGAGUCAUUUUUAAUAAAAUAAAAGCCAUAUAUAUUUUUUUAUUUAUUUAUAUGUAUCUGUAUUAUAUAUAUUUAUAUAUCUGUAUUUUAUAUAUAUAAAUAGCUUAUAUAUAUAUAAAUAGCCAUAUAUAAAUGGCCCUAUCCUACAGAAAUGCUUUACAUAAAGGUACAGAUAUCUGUAGGAUAGGGCUGGGAACAGUGGCUCACACUUGUAAUCCCAGCACUUUGGGAAGUCGAGGGGGAAGGAUAGUUUGAGGCCAGGUGUUCAAGACUAGCCUGGUCAACAUAAUGAGACCCGGUCUGUACAAAAAAUAAAAAGUUAGCUAGGUAUGAUGGUGUGUGCCUAUAGUUCUAGCUACUCAGGAGGCUGAAGCAGGAGGACUGCUUAAGCCCAGAAGUUCAAGGUUACAGUGAGCUAUGAUAGCACCACUGUACUCCAGCCUAGGCAACACAGUGAGACCCUUUCUCUAAAAAUAAAUAAAAUGAAACAAGAUACUAUAUAUUACUGUUUGUUUUUUGCUGUUCCAUUGGAAUACAUCUCUUUUACUGAGCUGAGAACAUGCCAUUUUAUUUAUUGUGGCUUGGUAUCACCUUUAAACAUAUAUUAAAUCUAAUCCUUCUCUCUAUAACUCUUAUUAAAAUUGUUGUUGUUCUUGGCUAUUCUCACUUGAAUAUUCUCUCAGAUAAACUUCAGAAACAUUUGUUCAAGUUUAUUAAAAUUCCAUUAGGAUGCCAUUGAAUUUACAGAUUAAUUUAGGAAAAUUGACAACUGAAAAUAUGCAGUCUUCUUAUUCAGGAACAAGACAUUUUAUGUCUUUAUUAAAGUCAUUUUAAUUUAUGGUUAUCUCUUGAUUAUUCUCAGUAGAAGACAAAUCUUAAAGUUUUUGUUGAGAACCACCUGUUCAGCUUGAUUAUCUCCUUUGUGUUUCUUAACUGCAUUUAUUCUCAUCCUCUACAUAUGAACUAUAACUCAUUAGAGUUUGGAAGCAAGAACUUUAGAAUAAAAAUAUCUAAUUAAAUUUCUACCUGAGAAAAAAGGACACAGAGCGAUAGCUGUACUCUUGGCAGCAGCUCCUCCAAAGCACACGC